rnacentral:misc_RNA from 1 species
UUCACAUUGUAAGUCAUUCUAGCAUUUCCCACAUUCAUAUUGAUAUUAAUGAAUAUAGCUAGAUAUAUAUGUCUAGAUUCAUUAACAUCAAUCUAGCUAGAUUCAUUAACAUCAAUAUGAAUGUGGGAAAUGCUAGAAUGACUUACAUUG